AGUGAAAGAGAAAUUAGUGAAAUACAAUAAGGGUGAGACGAACUAAAGUGGCAAACAUUGAAGAGUUUGUUUAAUUGUGCUCAGCCAUCUUCUUGCACAGACUGAUAACUUGAACUGAGGUGCACUGACUGAUUCUACAGAGAGCCGUCCAGCUUGUUGAUCAAAGACAAAUCCCCUGGAGAGCACUGAGGCUAAACAAAGUGAGAGCAGUUAUGAUCGUUCACACAGGACUGAGUCUCUUUAUUUUAUGGUUUUUACAUCAUGCAGACUUCUCCUGGGCAGAGAGGUUCACUGUUGUUGGUCCUUCUCAUUCCAUUGUUUCUUACGUUGGUGAAGAUGUCAUCCUGCCCGCCUCCCUGUCACCGGCAUUAGAUGCUGAGGGCUUUGAGGUCAGGUGGUUCACAACUAAUAUCUUUUAACCAGUGCUUUUAUAUUUGGAUUACAAAAUUAUAAAUCUCAUCGACUCAAGAAGAGCUCUUUUUCAAGAGAAGCUGAAGAGCAGCAACGUAUCUCUUAUUGUGCAGAGUGUCCGUGUGUCUGAUAAAGGCGUCUACACGUGUCUUGUGGCCUCUGGACCGUUGGAGGAAGACGUGAAGAUUACACUGAAUGUUUGAAGGUAAGGGUCAAGUCUGGAUAUUCAUUUAUAUUUCAAUGUAUUUCAUGGCUCCUCUAGCACUCCAUGCUCUUUUAUGCAAUAUGUCUUGUGUUGGGCUUCAGAAACAAUUUCUUUUGCUUUGGAGUGACUGUGGUCAGUAGGAUUUGUAUGCCAUAACAGAAGCACUUCCAUCCCCAC